rnacentral:rRNA from 1 species
GACCUCGGAUCAGGUAGGAAUACCCGCUGAACUAAAGCAUAUCAAUAA